CACGUAGGCACCAAGCGUUAUCCGGAUUUAUUGGGCGUAAAGAGCUCGUAGGCGGCUCGUCGCGUCGACCGUGAAAACCCGCAGCUUAACUGCGGGCUUGCGGUUGAUACGGGCGGGCUAGAGUUCGGUAGGGGAGACUGGAAUUCCAGGUGUAGCGGUGAAAUGCGUAGAUAUCUGGAGGAACACCGGUGGCGAAGGCGGCAUCCUGGACCGACACUGACGCUGAGGCGCGAAAGCCAGGGGAGCAAACGGG
rnacentral:rRNA from 1 species